ensembl:miRNA MIR3138 microRNA 3138
CCCUCCUCGGCACUUCCCCCACCUCACUGCCCGGGUGCCCACAAGACUGUGGACAGUGAGGUAGAGGGAGUGCCGAGGAGGG